rnacentral:rRNA from 1 species
AAUGAACGCUAGCGGCAGGCUUAAUACAUGCAAGUCAAGGGGGUAGCAAGUACAACCGGCGCACGGGUGAGUAACGCGUACACAACAUACCAUAUACUGGAGUAGUAGCUUCGGGAAACUGAAGGUAAUCCUCCAUAACAUUGCGAGAAGGCAUCUAAUUGCAAUUAAAGUUUCGACGGUAUAUGAUUGGUGUGCGUUUGAUUAGCUAGUUGGUAGGGUAACGGCCUACCAAGGCGACGAUCAAUAGCUGGCGUGAGAGCGCGACCAGCCACACUGGAACUGAGACACGGUCCAGACUCCUACGGGA